rnacentral:rRNA from 1 species
CCUACGGGAGGCAGCAGUGAGGAAUAUUGGUCAAUGGGCGCAAGCCUGAACCAGCCAAGUCGCGUGAGGGAUGACUGUCCUAUGGAUUGUAAACCUCUUUUGUCGGGGAGCAAGGCCCGCCACGUGUGGCGGUAAGUAGAGUACCCGAAGAAAAAGCACCGGCUAACUCCGUGCCAGCAGCCGCGGUAAUACGGAGGAUGCGAGCGUUAUCCGGAUUUAUUGGGUUUAAAGGGUGCGUAGGCGGAAGGUUAAGUCAGCGGUAAAAUGUCGGUGCUCAACACCGGCCUGCCGUUGAAACUGGUCUUCUUGAGUGAGCGAGAAGUAUGCGGAAUGCGUGGUGUAGCGGUGAAAUGCAUAGAUAUCACGCAGAACUCCGAUUGCGAAGGCAGCAUACCGGCGCUCAACUGACGCUGAGGCACGAAAGCGUGGGGAUCGAACAGGAUUAGAUACCCCUGUAGUC